ACGUGUUCUCUUCCAAUCACCAUCCUUCCCCUUCAACCGUAGAUGUUGCCCUAGGUCCGUUGGCCUCUUGCAGUGACAGACAACUCCAGCUAAAAGUGUUUGGUGUUCUUAGCUUCAUCCUUUCUCCCACUUUGCUCAUCCUCAUCCUCAGACAGAUGCCUCUUGCUUUUAUAAGUCGGAUGUAACUCUAUGAUUUAGGGUUCUCAGUCUCUGUAAAGGUAGAGACCAGAGAGAAGGAACUGAGCCAGUUGCUCUCCUGUUGAGCGAUUUGGAUGAGUCCGCCAGAGGCCUGAUUGUAUGGCCCGUAACUUUGAGUGUUCCCCAGCCCUUGAGGAAGUGUAUGUGGAUGUGUGCGCGUGCAUAUUUAUAUAUGUAGCCUGCACUCGUGAAUGCAUGAACUGGAGGAAGUUACUACAGUGGAGGGGUUCUUAAUAACAAGGUCCGCCUCGCAUGAAGUA